UUCAUUGUUGACCAGUGGAAAACUUCCCGCCGAAGUGUUUCAAAUAGCACUUUGUCUUCAAACGAACAAGAUGGACACAUGCAGUUUACAGAAGCAAAAUAUUUGAUUUGAACUGUUCGUGAAACCACACAUACUCAAGAGAAUUUACAAGACUAUUAUCCACAAAAUGCAACAGUCUUAUUUUGAUGAAUUGUUGAACCAGAGAAUUGUGAAGACUUACAGACACCUAGACUGUAUAGUCAACAUAACAAUGAUUAGAGAAUCAGACUACAGUGAACAUUACAAUGAUUAGAAAAUCAGACUAGAGUCAAUAUUACAAUGAUUAGAGAAUCAGACUAUAGUCAACAUUACAAUGAUUAGAAAAUCAGCCAGCUGCAUUUCAUCAAUCAGUUUAUGAUGAAGCUUUACAGCAUUGGAAAUGAUUACUCAGGGACCAAACAACUGAGCAGAAAGAAGAACCAUAUGACCUUGAAGAGUAAGCAAUGUAUUAAGUAUAUUUGGGGUUACCAAAGAGUAUGGUAAGAACCUCAUCUUAAAUUAUACUUGAGUUCUUACAAAGAUGCAUAGAGUUCUUACGAAGAUGUAUAGGUAUGCAGUAUUUAUUAUUUUUGUCUCUGUGUAUUUUUGUCAAUGAGGUAAAACCACAGAACAAAUCAAUCAGAAGUAUUAACUGGUGUAAUUUGAGAACACCCUGGAACACGAGAAAUAUCCUACCUCACAAAAUUUAACA